CGUAAUGGUGGGCACUCUAAGGAGACUGCCGGUGACAAACCGGAGGAAGGUGGGGAUGACGUCAAGUCAUCAUGGCCCUUACGGCCUGGGCUACACACGUGCUACAAUAGUCGGUACAGAGGGUUGCCAAGCCGCGAGGUGGAGCUAAUCCCAGAAAACCGAUCGUAGUCCGGAUCGCAGUCUGCAACUCGACUGCGUGAAGUCGGAAUCGCUAGUAAUCGCGAAUCAGAAUGUCGCGGUGAAUACGUUCCCGGGCCUUGUACACACCGCCCGUCACACCAUGGGAGUGGGUUGCACCAGAAGUAGCUAGUCUAACCUUCGGGAGGACGGUUACCACGGUGUGAUUCAUGACUGGGGUGAAGUCGUAANCAAGGUAGCCGUAG
rnacentral:rRNA from 1 species